UUUUUUUUGUUUUGUUUUGUUUUGUAAAUAACUUUGUUCAGCUGUAUUUUAAGCAUCCUGAGUAUAUUCAUCAUGUUGAUAGAUUUAGGGCUGUGAUGGUAUUUGAAGAAAAAAACGUCGUGCCGUGAUAAAUGUACAAUCCGAUACCACAUUUUUCAGUGUAUCACGUUAAUUUUUUACGAAGAGGAUGACCUUAAACGGCACGUAGCAGUGUGGUGGAAGUGCAGCAGGGACUCGGAACAAUACAGAACACACACUUUGGUCUGAUGAUUUUUUUUUUUUUUUUUUUUUUUAGAUUUUAAAAGCACAUUUUCUUAUAGAGAAUAUCGCAGGUUCGUUGUUACACCGUAAUAUCGGCACGGCGCGUAUACUACAACCGAUUUAGACAGGGAAAAGGGGGUCACUUUAAAGAUUCGUCCUUCUCCCUUGUUUUCCGUUUAAAGUCGAGUCGGGAAACUUGUCUUGUCAAGAGAUUUUGCCUGGCUAAACACGGCCCCUUCCCCCAUCUGUAACUCAUUCCCCCUCUCACACACACACACACUUGCUGUGUAUGACCUCGAGGUCACGGUGAAGUGACUUUGAGCCUUGUCUAACUGGGCCUCUUUGAGAGCAGCCCUCGCAUUCCUGCUCACUCAGACAGUCCAUGCGGCGCUUGUUACCAGCGCCGGGGAGGAAGUUUCUGCCGGUAGGGAUUAUGCGCAGUUUCCUCAGCCCGGGAGCUUCGGCCUUGUCCCCUCCCACCGCCGAAAAAAGCAGCGAUUCCACAAAACGAGCAGGAGGGGGAAAGCGGUGCGCCACAAACUUAAACCUGCUCUUCUCGCCACCAGGCAGUGCCCGAAGGUUUCUCCUCGCACUUGCUUUUUAUAUAUUUCUAUAUUUUAAAAACAUAUCUCGAGCUCUGCUUGCGCACCACGGUACGUUUUUCAGUAGGAAACAUCCAACGUUUCGGCCAUGUUCGCAGCACCGUGGUACAGAAGUGCAUUGUAUUGGGACCCGAGUAAGGAAGGAGGGAGCGAGGGAGGAGGAGGAGGAGGAGGAGGAGGAGGAUGGUGGUGCUGGAGAAGCACACAGCUGCACGGCACACAGAAGCCGGUUUCCCAACCCUGACAGCAAGGGAGCGAGGGAACAAGGGGCCUCGCUUCAGCAGCUCCAUCCAGGAGAGAGAUGUUCUUUCUUUCUUUCUUUCUUUCUUUCUUUGUAUUUUUUAUUUUUUUUAAACCGCUCUGAAAUACAGAAUGGAUCAGGACGAGAAAGCGGAUUCUUUUCCCUUGUCCGUGGCUGGCUACUCUUAUCCACUACAUGCGACGAGCGGGCGUGCGUGCGAUACGUUUCCGGAGCCGUGCUACAUCAGGAAAGGAUUGAUCAGUGCAGGACGAAGGCUUUGCAGCAGUCGAGAUUGAGCGAGUGAGAGCGAGUAGGAGAGGGAGAGGAGGAUGUAGCGAGAGGAGAGGAGAGGAGGAUAUAGCGAGAGGAGAGGAGAGGGAGGGCGCUCAGCGCAGCACGCCGCUGCCGACUGGAUCUCAGACACGCCGAGGCGCCGAAGAGACUCUGUGCCAGACAGGAAUAGAAAGUUAAGAAGUCACCUUGUGCAGCAUGCAGGUUUGGGUACACCUUACGUGCUGAUGUUAUCGCCUGAUGUAAAGCGACGCGUUCUCCUAACUGAAGUCUGUGACUUUCCCCAGAAGUCAUCCUGGUCGACCUAAAGGCUUUUCCACGUCGGCCAUGCAUAAGUCAUGUAGCGCUACCCUUGCGGCAGUGUGUGUGUGUGUGUGUGUGUGUAAGUCACGUGGUAGGGUGUGCAGUAAGGAAAGCACAGCUGGUAAGUUCUGCAUAUACAGAAGACUCACAGACACACACACACACACACACACACACACACACAUACAUACAUACAUACAUACAUACAUACAUAUAUAUAUAUAUAUAUAUAUACACAUAUAUACACUGUUCACAUUUGUCUUAGUGUCCUUGUGAGGACCGUCCAAUGAGGACCAGCCAAAUGUCCCCGCAAGGUCAAACCUGCCGGAUAUUCUUACCCUUGUGGGGACCAAGAUAUAAAUGCAUGCCCACACACACACACAUGUUAGGACAUGCAUACAAUUAUGCACACACAGAGUACUACAGUCCUAUAUACAAUGUGUAGAAACAUACACACACACACACACACACACACCCAGAGAGGCCUAUAACUUCCAUAAUAACACAAACUUAAUAAGUAUAACUUAUUCUGUGGGUCCUUUAAUUCAAUGCCAUAUAUAUAUAUAAUGUGCUUAUACUGUAAAGCUAAUAAAUAUGAAAUAGAAAAAUAAUAAAAUAAUAAUUUAUACAUAUUUCAACGUGUCUUUGAAAUUUCAAAAUGAUCAAUAAAGUAUAAUGGAAAUAAUCCUUUUCUGUCUCUCCUAAUGUGUUGAUGUAUUGUUCGUUAUUUUGAGCGUGUUGUGUCACUACAUGUCCUGGUGUCCAUCAACUUCACAUCCAAACAUCACACAAUAAAGCCCGUCAUUUUCACCGUGUCGUUUGAAAUUCUGAACCUUCUGAACUUUGAACCUCGUUAUGUUACUUGCUAAUGCUAGGUAGCCAAGCAGCACGAUAUUGAGAGAACUAGCCACCCUGCAAGAAAAUUCGGGAUACCGAACCGUACCUUUCCUGUAUGUUGGUGGUGUGGUGACGCUAAUAGUUUGUAUCUUUCACCUAGAAAUGUUGAUAUGGUGUACCUUUAAAUAAAGGCACGUAAAUGGAUUUUAAAGUUACACUACGUGUGUGUGUGUGUGUGUUGAUACACAAUGUAUAUGGGACUGUAGUACUCUGUGUGUGCAUAAUUGUAUUUAUGUCACAACGUGUGUGUGUGUUUGUUUUUUGUGUGCAUAAUUGUAUAUUAUAAUAGUGUGAGUG
ensembl:lncRNA